rnacentral:rRNA from 1 species
CUACUGGAAACGGUGGCUAAUACCGCAUAACGUCGCAAGACCAAAGAGGGGGACCUUCGGGCCUCUUGCCAUCAGAUGUGCCCAGAUGGGAUUAGCUUGUUGGUGAGGUAACGGCUCACCAAGGCGACGAUCCCUAGCUGGUCUGAGAGGAUGACCAGCCACACUGGAACUGAGACACGGUCCAGACUCCUACGGGAGGCAGCAGUGGGGAAUAUUGCACAAUGGGCGCAAGCCUGAUGCAGCCAUGCCGCGUGUAUGAAGAAGGCCUUCGGGUUGUAAAGUACUUUCAGCGGGGAGGAAGGUGUUGUGGUUAAUAACCGCAGCAAUUGACGUUACCCGCAGAAGAAGCACCGGCUAACUCCGUGCCAGCAGCCGCGGUAAUACGGAGGGUGCAAGCGUUAAUCGGAAUUACUGGGCGUAAAGCGCACGCAGGCGGUCUGUCAAGUCGGAUGUGAAAUCCCCGGGCUCAACCUGGGAACUGCAUUCGAAACUGGCAGGCUUGAGUCUUGUAGAGGGGGGUAGAAUU